CCCCUGCCCGAGGCUAUUCUGCCUGGGCCUUCUGGAAGUCUUUGCCGGGCCGAAUCAGCGCCUCCGUCCGUCAUGUCUCCCUGCAAAGGUUACAUUUCCCGUCCAGCUUCAUCUCAGAAAUAAAGGAAGGAGAGACACA